rnacentral:rRNA from 1 species
UACGUAGGUGACAAGCGUUGUCCGGAUUACUGGGCGUAAAGAGCGCGCAGGCGGUCGUUCAAGUCGAGUGUGAAAGCCCCCGGCUCAACUGGGGAGGUCAUUCGAUACUGAUCGACUCGAAGGCAGGAGAGGGAAGUGGAAUUCCCGGUGUAGUGGUGAAAUGCGUAGAUAUUGGGAGGAACACCAGUGGCGAAGGCGGCUCACUGGGACCGG